AACGCACAUUGCGCCUUUUGGUAUUCCGAAAGGUAUACUUGUUCGAGCGCCGUUUCAUACCUCAAGCUUCUGCUUGGUGUUCACUGCUGUCAUCAGACACAGUGUAAACUCUUUGGCAGCCCCUAACAGUCCCAGCGUGACAGAAUCUCGUUGUAUACUGUGAAGAGCGUUAGCCAGUCUAUCUCGAAACGAUGGCCUCGGAUCAAGUAGGGUUACCCGCUGAACUUAA
rnacentral:misc_RNA from 1 species